rnacentral:rRNA from 1 species
CAGCCGCCGCGGUAACACCGAGGGUGCGAGCGUUAAUCGGAUUUACUGGGCGUAAAGCGUGCGUAGGCGGCUUCUUAAGUCGGAUGUGAAAUCCCUGAGCUUAACUUAGGAAUUGCAUUCGAUACUGGGAAGCUAGAGUAUGGGAGAGGAUGGUAGAAUUCCAGGUGUAGCGGUGAAAUGCGUAGAGAUCUGGAGGAAUACCGAUGGCGAAGGCAGCCAUCUGGCCUAAUACUGACGCUGAGGUACGAAAGCAUGGGGAGCAAACAGGAUUAGAUACCCGCGUAGUCCCUGUCUCUUAUAA